CUUUAAUAUGCACUUCAGCUCGCACAGCCCACGGAAGACAGGUAGGACGGCCGGCGUGGUGAGGCCGCUCAUACAGCCCACGGGAGACAGGUAGGACGGCCGGUGUGGUAAGGCCGCUCACACAGCCCACGGGAGACAGGUAGGACGGCCGGCGUGGUGAGGCCGCUCAUACAGCCCACGGGAGACAGGUAGGACGGCCGGCGUGGUGAGGCCGCUCAUACAGCCCACGGAAGACAGGUAGGCAGGCCGGCGUGGUAAGGCCAGCAAGGGCGGCCCGGGUAUUUGGUCUCGGGGCAAACAGUGUCUUCCCCGGGUAGACCGCGGCGGUGCUACGGCUGAGUGAUGGAGGGCAGUGCCGGGCCGGGCGUAACGCGGCAGCAGCCUCGUCAGGUGGAGGACUCGUUAGGUGGUGAAGGGGAGCCAGUGCCUGCGA